rnacentral:rRNA from 1 species
UCAGACGUUACCUAUGCGAUUAGCCAUCUAAUACAUGCAAGUCGAACGCUUCUUUUCCCACCGGAGCUUGCUCCACCGGGAAAAGAGGAGUGGCGAACGGGUGAGUAACACGUGGGUAACCUGCCCAUCAGAAGGGGAUAACACUUGGAAACAGGUGCUAAUACCGUAUAACAAUCGAAACCGCAUGGUUUCGUUUUGAAAGGCGCUUUACGGUGCCGCUGAUGGAUGGACCCGCGGUGCAUUAGCUAGUUGGUGAGGUAACGGCUCACCAAGGCCACGAUGCAUAGCCGACCUGAGAGGGUGAUCGGCCACAUUGGGACUGAGACACGGCCCAAACUCCUACGGGAGGCAGCAGUAGGGAAUCUUCGGCAAUGGACGAAAGUCUGACCGAGCAACGCCGCGUGAGUGAAGAAGGUUUUCGGAUCGUAAAACUCUGUUGUUAGAGAAGAACAAGGGUGAGAGUAACUGUUCACCCCUUGACGGUAUCUAACCAGAAAGCCACGGCUAACUACGUGCCAGCAGCCGCGGUAAUACGUAGGUGGCAAGCGUUGUCCGGAUUUAUUGGGCGUAAAGCGAGCGCAGGCGGUUUCUUAAGUCUGAUGUGAAAGCCCCCGGCUCAACCGGGGAGGGUCAUUGGAAACUGGGAGACUUGAGUGCAGAAGAGGAGAGUGGAAUUCCAUGUGUAGCGGUGAAAUGCGUAGAUAUAUGGAGGAACACCAGUGGCGAAGGCGGCUCUCUGGUCUGUAACUGACGCUGAGGCUCGAAAGCGUGGGGAGCAAACAGGAUUAGAUACCCUGGUAGUCCACGCCGUAAACGAUGAGUGCUAAGUGUUGGAGGGUUUCCGCCCUUCAGUGCUGCAGCUAACGCAUUAAGCACUCCGCCUGGGGAGUACGACCGCAAGGUUGAAACUCAAAGGAAUUGACGGGGGCCCGCACAAGCGGUGGAGCAUGUGGUUUAAUUCGAAGCAACGCGAAGAACCUUACCAGGUCUUGACAUCCUUUGACCACUCUAGAGAUCCAGUAAUGCGGAUCGGGGGCAAAGUGACAGGUGGUGCAUGGUUGUCGUCAGCUCGUGUCGUGAGAUGUUGGGUUAAGUCCCGCAACGAGCGCAACCCUUAUUGUUAGUUGCCAUCAUUUAGUUGGGCACUCUAGCAAGACUGCCGGUGACAAACCGGAGGAAGGUGGGGAUGACGUCAAAUCAUCAUGCCCCUUAUGACCUGGGCUACACACGUGCUACAAUGGGAAGUACAACGAGUCGCGAAGUCGCGAGGCUAAGCUAAUCUCUUAAAGCUUCUCUCAGUUCGGAUUGUAGGCUGCAACUCGCCUACAUGAAGCCGGAAUCGCUAGUAAUCGCGGAUCAGCACGCCGUUCAGAGGUACUUCCCGGGCCUUGUACACACCGCCCGUCACACCACGAGAGUUUGUAACACCCGAAGUCGGUGAGGUAACCUUUUGGAACCCGCCGCCCUAAGGUGGAAUAAAUAAUGGGAUUCGAGUCAUUC